AAUCCAUAGGUUAAUGAGGCGAACCGGGGGAACUGAAACAUCUAAGUACCCCGAGGAAAAGAAAUCAACCGAGAUUCCCCCAGUAGCGGCGAGCGAACGGGGAGGAGCCCAGAGCCUGAAUCAGCAUGUGUGUUAGUGGAAGCGUCUGGAAAGGCGCGCGAUACAGGGUGACAGCCCCGUACACAAAAGCGCAUGUGCUGUGAGCUCGAUGAGUAGGGCGGGACACGUGGUAUCCUGUCUGAAUAUGGGGGGACCAUCCUCCAAGGCUAAAUACUCCUGACUGACCGAUAGUGAACCAGUACCGUGAGGGAAAGGCGAAAAGAACCCCGGCGAGGGGAGUGAAAAAGAACCUGAAACCGUGUACGUACAAGCAGUGGGAGCACAGGUUUACCUGUGUGACUGCGUACCUUUUGUAUAAUGGGUCAGCGACUUAUAUUCUGUAGCAAGGUUAACCGAAUAGGGGAGCCGGAGGGAAACCGAGUCUUAAUUGGGCGUUAAGUUGCAGGGUAUAGACCCGAAACCCGGUGAUCUAGCCAUGGGCAGGUUGAAGGUUGGGUAACACUAACUGGAGGACCGAACCGACUAAUGUUGAAAAAUUAGCGGAUGACCUGUGGCUGGGGGUGAAAGGCCAAUCAAACCGGGAGAUAGCUGGUUCUCCCCGAAAGCUAUUUAGGUAGCGCCUCGUGAAUUCAUCUCCGGGGGUAGAGCACUGUUUCGGCUAGGGGGCCAUCCCGGCUUACCAACCCGAUGCAAACUGCGAAUACCGGAGAAUGUUAUCACGGGAGACACACGGCGGGUGCUAACGUCCGUCGUGAAGAGGGAAACAACCCAGACCGCCAGCUAAGGUCCCAAAGUCAUGGUUAAGUGGGAAACGAUGUGGGAAGGCCCAGACAGCCAGGAUGUUGGCUUAGAAGCAGCCAUCAUUUAAAGAAAGCGUAAUAGCUCACUGGUCGAGUCGGCCUGCGCGGAAGAUGUAACGGGGCUAAACCAUGCACCGAAGCUGCGGCAGCGACACUCAGGUGUUGUUGGGUAGGGGAGCGUUCUGUAAGCCUGUGAAGGUGGCCUGUGAGGGUUGCUGGAGGUAUCAGAAGUGCGAAUGCUGACAUAAGUAACGAUAAAGCGGGUGAAAAGCCCGCUCGCCGGAAGACCAAGGGUUCCUGUCCAACGUUAAUCGGGGCAGGGUGAGUCGACCCCUAAGGCGAGGCCGAAAGGCGUAGUCGAUGGGAAACGGGUUAAUAUUCCCGUACUUGGUGUUACUGCGAAGGGGGGACGGAGAAGGCUAUGUUGGCCGGGCGACGGUUGUCCCGGUUUAAGCGUGUAGGUGUGUGUUCCAGGUAAAUCCGGUUCACUUUAAC
rnacentral:rRNA from 1 species